rnacentral:tRNA from 81 species
GCUGUGGUAGCUCAGUGGUAGAGCACUCCCUUGGUAAGGGAGAGGUCGAGAGUUCAAUCCUCUCUCACAGCACCA